AAUCUGGCCUCACUCAGGUCGGUGUGACGUCAAUGAAAUUUUGUACAUCACCCUACCUCAAUUUGAAACCAAGCGUCAGUUUCGUUCUGCGUUCGCCAGAAUUCGUUGGAGUAACUUUCACCAUGAAACUGUUGGCAGGACUUGUGGUGCUGACCGUGUUGGCAGCUGUGACCACAGCGACCACCCCAGCAUGUCCUGAGGAUGACGGCGCCACACCCGUCUUUUAUCCAGACGACACGGACACACACGGCUUCUGGGAGUGCAGCAACGGCAAGGCUGUCCACCUGGAGUGCCCUGCUGGACUCGUCUGGAACGCCAAUAUCAACGCCUGCGACUGGCCGCCCUCGAGGAAGUAGAAGAUGCGAACUUGCCCCUUAACCACAGAUAUUUGUUAAGAAAAUCUUAGAAUAAAAUUUAAGUGUCUAAUGAA